GAGGACUUCCGUGUCGUGCGUCUCCCCGUCCACGGUCUCGCGCCGGCGACCCCGGUAGAUCUUGGUGAAGGAGCCGUGGCCCAAGGGGCAGAAGCAAGAGAACAGAGGUCAGAGGUCAGAGGCAAAGGUUCCCAAGAGCCCCCUCCCGCACUAAGCCUGGGGGACCCCCCCCCCCAACUCGCUCCUGAGAAGCGAUUUGAAAGCGCCGGGCUCUGAGCGGACGGUCCAGCCUCGUGGAUUCUAGGGAGACUCCCAGGCUGGUGCUCUUCAAGGACAAAUGCACACUCCUGGUCCCAGCUCGGAUGUCACCUCCGCCGGGAAGCCACCCUGGCACCAGCAAUGAACCAACCUGCACGCAGGCCGUGAGAAGAAAGCUGUCGUAGUCCUGAGGGCUGCGGCGGAGAAUGUAGGAGCCCGGGAGGGAGCCGGCGGCCUUCAGCUUGUGGACCGCAAAGUCUAGCCUAGGCCAGGACAGAAGCCCCGUCAGAGCCGGACCGACCCGCCUUGGCGGCGCCACCUCCUUGCAGAAGAAAUGCCUGGAGUCGCAGGUCAGCCGGAAGUAGCCGUCGACGAGGGCCACGAAGGACAGCGCCUCGGGCAGUCCCGCGAACUCCGCUUCCUGUGCGGAGAG